AUACAGUAAUUUGUCUCCAGAUCAUAUAAAUCUUUUGUCUUUUAGUAAAGCUUUCUCUGGAGAGGAACACUUAAGUUUUAACCAAAUUUUUUGCUUCGAGACACAGCUGCUCAAU
rnacentral:snRNA from 1 species